CAGCUAAUGACACCACUCUACAUAGUCAAAAGGCUGUGAUACAGGUAAUGGUGCACUAUCUGUAUAGCGGCUAAUGACACCACUCUCUCUCACUAUACAUGGUGAAAGGCGGUGAUACAGGUAAUGGUGCACUACCUGUAUAGCGGCUAAUGACGCGGCUCUGUCUCACUAUACAUGGUGAAAGGCUGUGAUACAGGUAAUGGUGCACUACCUGUAUAGCGGCUAAUGACGCGGCU